UGACAUGUUUGUGGUCUCGACUUAACCCCGUAAACAAACAAGUGUGAGGACCCUCAUAUUUUGUGAUUUGAAAAUAUCCAUAUUUUUUCAACAAUGCAGCACGAAGCCUCCAUUUACAAUUUUGAACAUUAUCUGAUGAUGCGCAUCGUACGGACCAUAAUUUUGAAUGCGACUGAACUAUAUUGUAUGUCCGAUGCUUCAUAAUGUGAUAAAGAU
rnacentral:lncRNA from 1 species